GAUGAACGCCGGCGGCGUGCCUAAUACAUGCAAGUCGAGCGAACAGAUGAGGAGCUUGCUCCUCUGACGUUAGCGGCGGACGGGUGAGUAACACGUGGAUAACCUACCUAUAAGACUGGGAUAACUUCGGGAAACCGGAGCUAAUACCGGAUAAUAUAUUGAACCGCAUGGUUCAAUAGUGAAAGACGGUUUUGCUGUCACUUAUAGAUGGAUCCGCGCCGCAUUAGCUAGUUGGUAAGGUAACGGCUUACCAAGGCAACGAUGCGUAGCCGACCUGAGAGGGUGAUCGGCCACACUGGAACUGAGACACGGUCCAGACUCCUACGGGAGGCAGCAGUAGGGAAACUUCCGCAAUGGGCGAAAGCCUGACGGAGCAACGCCGCGUGAGUGAUGAAGGUCUUCGGAUCGUAAAACUCUGUUAUUAGGGAAGAACAAAUGUGUAAGUAACUAUGCACGUCUUGACGGUACCUAAUCAGAAAGCCACGGCUAACUACGUG
rnacentral:rRNA from 1 species